AUAUAGCUCAGUGGCACAGUGCCUGUCUGACAAGCAUGAGGUCCUGAGUUCAAUUUCCAGUAU
rnacentral:tRNA from 1 species